GGGGUUAUAGAUCAAUAGGUAGAUUAUUCGCUUUGCAUGCGAUUGAUAUCGGUUCAAAUCCGAUUAAUUCCA
rnacentral:tRNA from 1 species